UACGUAGGGUGCAAGCGUUUGUCCGGAAUUAUUGGGCGUAAAGGGCUCGUAGGCGGUCCAUCACGUCGGGAGUGAAAAGCUGGGGCUUAACCCCAGUCCUGCUUCCGAUACGGGCGGGCUGGAGUUCGGUAGGGGAGACUGGAAUUCCUGGUGUAGCGGUGAAAUGCGCAGAUAUCAGGAGGAACACCGGUGGCGAAGGCGGGUCUCUGGGCCGAAACUGACGCUGAGGAGCGAAAGCGUGGGGAGCAAACAGG
rnacentral:rRNA from 1 species